GAAAUGCGAUAAGUAAUGUGAAUUGCAGAAUUCAGUGAAUCAUCGAAUCUUUGAACGCACAUUGCGCCCGCCAGUAUUCUGGCGGGUAUGCCUGUCCGAGCGUCAUUUCAACCAUCAAGCCCCCGGGCUUGUGUUGGGGACCUGCGGCUGCCCGCAGGCCCUGAAAACCAGUGGCGGGCUUGCUGUCACACCGAGCGUAGUAGCAAUCACCUCGCUCAGGGCGUGCUGCGGGUUCCGGCCGUUAAACAGCCUUACAAAACCCAAGGUUGACCUCGGAUCAGGUAGGAAGACCCGCUGAACUUAAGC
rnacentral:misc_RNA from 1 species